rnacentral:rRNA from 1 species
GACGAACGCUGGCGGCGUGCUUAACACAUGCAAGUCGAACGAAGUGGCGAACGGGUGAGUAACGCGUAAUCAACCUGCCCUUCAGAGGGGGACAACAGUGGGAAACGACUGCUAAUACCGCAUACUGAAGGAGGGGUUUGCGUCGGAUUAGCUAGUUGGAGGGGUAACGGCCAACCAAGGCGAGGAUCAGUAGCCGGUCUGGGAGGAUGAACGGCAACAUUGGGACUGGGACACGGCCCAGACUCCUUAGGGAGGCAGCAGGGGGGAAUCUUCCGCAAUGGACGAAAGUCUUACGGAGCAACGCCGCGUGAGUGAUGGCUGCCUUCGGGUUGUAAAGCUCUGUUAAGCGGGACGCGGUACCGGAAGAGAAAGCCACGGCUAACUACGUGCCAGCAGCCGCGGUAAUAC